ACAAAUUGAUAGAAGCUUGUAAGACUUAAUGACUGCUUCAAGCUGAGCCUGAAGAUGUUCCAGCAUGUAAAGUCCAAACAUAUUUAAAGCAUAUCCUAAAUCCAAUUAACCAAACAAAGAUAGCAUGUUCAAUAAACAGAUGAAGCCAUUUUAUUAAUCAUGAGGAAGGGUUUAUAAUCAACAAGCAAGAGCUUACAUCAUCCGUAAAAUCUCUAAUAGACACAUCAGAAAACAUAAUCACAAAACAUAAUAGGCACGAGAGCUUGUCAUCGUCUUUUCCACAACGGAGGUGGGACCUGCUCGUCGUCGCGUCCUCUCCAUACCGGAUCUCGAAUCUGUUGGCCGUCCUGUCGUCCUCUCCACAACGGAAGUCGGACCUGGUUGCCGUCGCGUUGUCCUGUCCAUACCGGAGCUCUCGGAUCUGCUCGUCAGCUCUCAUGUCCACAAAAUCUCAGAGAUUCGAUUCAAUUGAAAAAGUACAACACAAACAAUUAAAAAAAGAAAAAAUAUAAAAAAGGUUAGGGGUUUCAAGGAGAAAGGUAUUGAAAUCGGGCGACGGAGAAUGAAGGAGAAAGGUGAUGAGAUAUGAAGAGAUAGAUACGAGAUUAUACAGUCACAACCGCUGUGAGCCUUCUGGAUUCAUGGUGUUUUACAGAGAAAUUGAAGACGAAGAAGAAAAGAUUUAGCAGAAUUAUGGUUAGUAAACGAAGGGGCUGGGAAAUUGGGAAAAUUAGAUCUGAAUUUCAAAAAGUAAAGCCA
rnacentral:lncRNA from 1 species